ensembl:lncRNA
CGACAAUCCAUAGAUGAAGCUGUAAUUUAGGCACGACCUCGUCACUGUAAGCCCCCAGCCCCCAUGGGAAGGUGUUUCGUCGAUAUGAAGCAGGGAGGACAGGGGAAGAGUGAGGAGAGCGAGAGAGGGGGAGGAUCGAGGGUGAAGACGGCGAAGACAGAGAGCGAGCGAGGGAGGAAAGGAGAAAGGGGAACAUGGUGAAACAGCUGAGUCCAGUGUUCUACUCUCUUUAUUCCUGAUGACUCCCAGAUGUUUCAUGAAACUCCACUGAUACUCUGUCUUGC